GCCAGGGGUAGCUCAGUCGAUAGAGCAUGAGACUCUGAAUGUCAGGGUCGUGGGUUUUGAGCUCCAUGUUGGGCA